GAGAAAUUGGAGCAGGAGGAGAGAUUGACAUUCAUCACAUACACACAAUGCACCCCUUGCACACAGAAAAACACACAAUGCAUUACACACACAUACACAAGCAAUGCAACCGUUACACACAAUGCAUCCCUUACACACACAGAAACACACAAUGCAUUCAUUACACACACUCAAUGCACCCCUUACACAAAUUCAACGCAUCCCAUACAUACACAGAAACACAUCUUGCAGCCCUUACACAUACAAACACAAUUUCACACAAUGCAUUCCUUACACACAUAUCAGGACAGCCCUUACACACUCCACCCCCUGUGAACAAACUCAUUGGUGGAACAUGAAGGUGGACCCUGGGACCCAGACCUUGAGCUGUGUAAAGGACCCCCAAAAAAUGGAGCUGCUUCCCGUUCUACCAGAACAUUGAUUUUUGUGACCAC